ensembl:lncRNA
GCUAAAAAUGAUUAGUGCAAUGAAUUUUUCAGCUAAUUAGUACAAACAACUAAUGUUGUUUAGUAAUGAUGGCAAGUUUUUACUAAACAUAAAAGAAUAAGUAAUGAUCACUCGUAAAUUUAAUUAGAAACAAAAUCCGGGUUUACAGUGUAUGAUUGAUAAUCCAGACCUAUAAACGUACACAUAUUGACAGCCGUAAGCGUUAAUUGUUGCUAUUUAUUAAAUUAAACCUCUCUUCCUCCACCCCGCCUCCUCCUCCUCCUCCCCCUCCUCCCCCUCCUCCUCCUCUUCCUCCUCCUCCUCCUGUUCCUCCCUCCCCCUCCUCCCCCGCCCUCUCUCUUCAUCGUCUCCAUCCUCCACCUGGACCUCUUCGGGCCGUUCCUCCGCCAGUCAGGCCGCUUUCGGACGUCGGGAGGCGGGGAAGGAGCGUCGCGUGUGCCGGUGUGUGUCCGCGCUUCGGCCGCGCGCUGCGCACGUGAAGCGGCCGCUCGCGUCCGGGGAGAAGCGCGUCCGCCCUCCGGCGGGAAGGAUGCUGCGCAGCGGGGCCGCCGCGCUCCUCUUCUGGUGUCUGACGUGGAGCCAGCUGCUGAUCUCAGAGUCGUCUUCUGCCGACCACGAGCUUCGUCUUUUCCCUCCGCGGGACUCCAGCCGUCUUCCUCCACCUCGUCACCGCCCGGACCACCUGAACCCUCCGCGCCAUGUGGGCCGCGUGUUCGGGACCCAUCUCCACCAUGGCCGCCCAGCCGGGUUAACCAAAGCGCCGCCAUCCGCCCUCUUGGGGUCCGGCGGGCAGCGCGGCCUCACUAUGCUGGAGCGACCUCACGCCGCCGUGUCCGCACGCCACCUGGUCACCGUGGUGAGUAAGCCGCCCUCUGAUUGGAUGAGGCCUUUUCUGUUUUUGGCAAAACCUGUCCGUUACCUGUCAGUCAGGCUCUUUGGGGCGGGACUAAGAUGUCAUUGGUGCAGCUUAUUUAAAAGUGAUCAAUAUGUCGGAGGAAGCAGGAAUAUGAAAGCGUUGGAUCAUGGAGGAUGAAGAGGUCCUCUGAAGCUCCACCUUCUCUCCUUGAUUGUAUAAAUCUGUCUAAUAUUAAGCUUUAAACCCAGAACAGGCACAACGUCCACCCUGUAAACACAAACACAUUAAAAAUAAUUCCUGCCUCGGCGAUCCCUUCGUUCCCUUUGCUUUGUCCCGCCGGGGCCACCGUAGUCCCACCGCUUCCUGCGGCCUUUAAGCUCAUCAGAGACAGGAGGUCAGAGGUCGGAUCACAGUAGACCGACGAGGAGCAGCAGACACCUCCGGCGCUGAGUGAGUCUGAACUCUCUGUUGCCAUGGAAACACCAUCGCCAGCGUGUGUGUGUGAGACACACGUACCUUCACAAUGGAGUUUACAUAACCAGAUAGACAGUGGAGGCCUACACAAUGACAUCGAGACAGACAGACAGGUCAGACGCAGUGAGACGGGAGGACGGAGACAGACAGGUCAGACUCAGUGAGACAGGAGGACGGAGACAGACAGGUCAGACUCAGUGAGACAGAGACACAGUAUUUGUAGGAGGAAUAAUUAUUCAUUUAAACAAAUAUGUCCUUUUGCGACGCAGAUGCAUUGUGGGAGGGCAAGGACAUCUGGAUAAAAAGAGGGACGUGAAUGUUGUGUAGAGACGGGCGUCCUCUUACUGUCCAUAAAUCCACUGAUAUUAAACGUGAUCCAUAAAAUAUGCUCAUACGUGUUGUUGUUGUUUCUGCUGUGCAAAGACUGAGUACCAGAUGGUCCCGGCUCCGCCCACCUCUGCAUCACAUGCUCACCAGUGAGUGCGUGUGUGUGUGUGCGUGUGUGUGUGUGUGCGUGUUGUGUAAUUCAUGCGUGUGGACAGACAAACAUACGCAGUGAAACAUGAGUUAUGAGCAGCUUUUGUACGACGCGUUUCCUGUUUAUUAACGUGGUGACGUGCAGAUUAAAGAUGGCCGCUCCUUAAUCCAACGGAGAACUUAAUAACAACGAUGACAAUGAGGUUAAAACUACUGUAAAGCGCAGCUAUCAGCUAACUGUGUGUGUGUGUGUGUGUGUGUGUGCUGGGACAGAAAUAGCACCUGAUCCGAACAGGAAGCGCAGCGGGAUAAUGGCGUUACCUGGACGACGCCCAAUCAGGUGGUGCGUUAAACGCGGUCCCCCUCUCGGCCAAUCACAGGCGAGGGAUUGAUUAGAUCAGGAAGCUUCUCUCCCAGCUGUCUGAGGAGAAGCUUCCUGUGCUCGACAGGGAGGAACCACAAUGUUUACAUGUUCCCUUGGUAAGGUUGUUGUUGUUGUUGUUGUUGUUUACAGGCUGUGCUUGUUGACGUUCUUAAAUGUCUUUGCAAUGUUUUCUUUUCAUUUUGUCUUUUAUUUCAGGUUAAAGCUGAAAAAGUACAAAAAAUGACCUCUAGGAAUUUGUAAAACAUAUUCAUCAUUUUUAAAGCAACAAAUGUAAAAUAAAUGAUUUGUGAGUUUUGGGGCUUUGGACUGUUGAUUGAUUGAUUGAUUGAUUGAU